CUACUUACCUAACAGAGGACAGGCUGCGAUCAGUAACAUGGUCCUCCUGGGUAAGGAUAUUCUUUGCAUUCCAGGUAUGCUGACUCUUGUGAUUCCUCUGAAUGUGGAGAAGCUGACUGCAUAAUUUGUAGUGAAAGACUGAAUUUACACCUUCAAA
rnacentral:snRNA from 1 species